UGAGUUAGUUAUACAUGAAUCCCUCUCUCUCUAUCUUUUUCCUUCUAUAAUUACUCCCUCUUCCUCCUCAUCCUCCUCAUUCUUCUUCUUUUACUUCCUUCUUCUUUCUCUUUGGAAUUUCUCUCUUCCUUCCCUUCCUUCUCUGCCAUUUUUUAUUUUCCAAUUUCUAUUCGUAACAAAGGUAUCAAAGCCAGGUUGAUUCUCCAUAGCUAGUGAUGAGCCAAAUCGAAUCCUCCUGGUCAUAAUCUAUCAUAUGUUUUAUACUAUUACUAUGAAAACACUAAACCAGGUUUUCUCACCUCAUGCAUUUGUGGAAAAGAUCGUCACAUUUCAAAAGUCGGCGGGCUUUCAAGCCCUGAUCCAAUAUCAAGGACGCCAAAAUGCUAUAUUAGCUAGAAUCUCUCUUCAGGGCCAUAAUAUUUAUGAUGACUGUUAUCAGCUUGACAUACAGUUUUUAAACCUUGAUUAAUUACAACUCCAUUGUAGUAAUGAGCGAAGGGAUUUCACAAACCCAAAACUCCCAACAGAGCAGAAGGGCGAACCGUCACAGCAUCUUGGGUAUGGUGAUGCAGGAGUUGGAUUUCCACAGAUGGCUAAUGCAACUGCAAUUGCAACAGUUUUGGAAGAGGUUUGCCUCCAGGAAAAAGUGGGAUAAAUACACAAAUUAAUGUGGCGGCAAGGAUGAGCGAAAUCAAUCGAAGUGGGAAUUAGAGAAGUUUCUAGAAGAAUUUUCUAGUGUUGGUGCGGCGAUCCAGGGGUCACGUGCGGGCGAGAAUGUGAUUGGUACAUCUUUGUCAGUACCUCAAGUGCCGAUUUCCAAAUCUGAAAAUGGUUAUGGGGAUGGUGGCGUGGAGGUAAAAAAGUCUAAUAAUCGUAAUCCUCCAUCGUCUGAUUAAACACUGACAGUACUGAUUGACGCGGAAGAGUAUCGCACAAUCCUUAAGAACAAGAUCCAUCAAGCCUGUGCUAUUGUUGCUCUCUCUUAUGCGUCGAUUGUGAAGGUAGCAGGUUCGUUUGCUCAAGCUGAAAAUCAGGUGCUUCAAUUGGGAUCUGAUGUUCAAGGUCCCUCAAAGACACAGGAACAGGGUGAGCCUGAUGCUGGUAUUUCGGCUGUUUCAACUACACAAAAAAUGUCAGGGACACAAGUGAGGCAAGCCAUAAGUGGGAUAAAUGAUAGGUGUACAAUGAUGGGUAAGGUUUCUCCAAAUGAAUAUCCUUUAAGUGGAGUGUCAGUAGUAAAUGAUCCAGUUGAUGAUUUCGAUGGGUUUUAAGUGAUUGUGUUAUUGGGAAUUUAAUGGCUUCUAGUUUAUAUUCUGUUCAUUAGUAUUCUGUUAGAUUUGAGUAAAACCUCUGCUUUGGAUUACUUAGGCAGUAAGCUAUUCAAGAGUUCCUUAAUUGUCUGUGCUUGUUGCAGCUCAUACGUACCUGAAGAAAGUGUGGUUUUGUUAGAAAAUGGUGCAUUGUUCUUGUUUGAUUUAGCUUCUUGUGUUAAUUGGCUGAAACUCAAUGGCUAUGUUAGAAAGAGUAAAUUUAGAGUCUUAUAGAAUGAUUCGAGUGGUGUAGAUAAUUAUAAAUUGUUGGGUAUUGAAUUCAGUUGGCAUCCUAGGAUUUUAGUUGUUGCACGAUCAAAUGCCACUUUGUUACUUGAUUUUACGCAUGAUGAAUGUAAUGUAAUUUUUUUUAGCUAAGAUUGAGAUGUUGAACCCAUAUGCUAUAGUCAAGGAUCAGUUCUUAGCAUCUUCUACAGCAGGAGCUGAGGGGUUUCAGUUUGUUUUGGCUUCCCAAAGUUUAUUGCUUCUUUGUGAUAUGUGUAAGCCAAUGGUGCCAUUGUUGUGUUGGGUUCAUCAUCUAGAUAAUCCAUGCUUCAUUGAUGUGAUUAGGUUAUCAGAAUUGAGGUCACAAUUAGGGAUGAUACAUAUCAGUGGGCAACUGAAUCAGGUUUUUGCAUAAUAUUGGGAUUAUUUUGGAAUUGUGAGUUCAGGCUGUUUUGUUAUGGCCUUUCUUCAGCCAGUGAAGGAUAUGUUGCUACAGAAAUUUCAAAGUUUUGCAAACCUUUUUUGAGUAGGGAUCUCUCGAAGUUGCUGUGGGAGUCAGAUGAAUUUGAUGGGUUUAUUUUGAUUAUGCUAAUGUCUUUAGAGAAGAUUGAAGCUCAAUGAUAUUGUGCCUCAUAGGAUUUGGUGCAGAAUUUUGAUGUAGCUCACAAAAAACCAUUGCUCAAAUUUUAGGAUAGCUUAUUAUACUUUUCGAGUGACAAUGAAUAUGAAUUUCCUAAAAGGUUCAAGUAUUUGAACCUUGACUAUCUUCGUGGUUAUUUGAACGACAUGACCAUGCCUCUGAAAUUUUCAGUUGUUCCAGACCUUCCUCAAUUACCUCUAUUCCUACUAGGGAAGCCUUCAUGUCGCAACAUUAAGUGGUCGCAUAAAAUGUAGCCUGAUGAUUCACUUGUGGGUCCUAUUCUUCCUCUCCCCAUUCUACUUACACUUCACAAGUUUCGUAAUGGUUGUCCUGAUUCAGAUAAAAUGUGUGGAUUUUCAUUAAAUGCAGAGUUUGGCCUUAGGUUCAAUAAAGUCAUGCGGGUUGCUGCAGAAAUGGUUGUAUUAGAUUCUAGCUUUCUUAACAAUGAUGAAACCAUCUCUCUUGCUAAUGACAAGGAUGAGAUGUGGGUUAACUCUCAAAGGUCAAAAUAAUUCCUUUUACACCAUCCAAUUGCAGGCGAGUCACAUGGAAACCGUAUUUAUAACUAUGUGAAAUUUACUACCAUGAGUACCAAAGUGCAUAAAGUUACUGAUCCUAAAUACACAAUUGAUAGUGUUGGGCUAGAACUUUUUGAUGAUCUAUGUCCCAUUGAAUUAAAGUUUGAUGAUGUUCCUGUCAUGAACUUUGAGCUGAUGGAUGCCCUAUGCUUGAUCGAAGAAUGGGUAUUUAUGGUUAUACUAUGGAAAAUUCAAGUACUUUUCCUCACUUUGAUCCUUAACAAGAAUCAUUUUGAGGUGGAGGUAAUUGUUAUGGGUCAAAAUGAAGACUCGGUAACCAAGAAGCAAAACAUCGUGUUUGGUUUUACUGAAACGAUGCGCAGAGGACCUAAUGAAAUGAAGCGUUUCAUCCAACUAAUCCUGAAGGAUUUCGUUGACACGAAAGGAAAGCCUGAUCAAGGUUGCAAGACGAUCGAACAGUAGUCGAGGCUAGAUCAAAAAUUGUUUUCUUUGAAACAUUAGACUGAGAUUUCCUCGGUUUAGGGUUGAUUGCGAAGAACCCAAGCCAAUAGAUUUGUAAAAGAGAUACGGGCUAUCCUUUGAUGGGUUCUGCUUGAGGUUUUGAUGCCGGAGAGCGGCAGCUUGUGUCAACAGCGAUGGUGGAGAUAGAGUUUAUGGGAGAAGAAACUAAGAGAAAAGGGAAGGAAAGGAAAAAAAAAAGAAAAAGCAACAUGUGAAAAAAUUCAUAAAAGUUAAAUAUUUUUAUAAUUUUAUUUCAAUUAUAUAUUUAUUUUUUGAAAUUACUAAGCCAUUUUUUUA